CGUUUAGCCAGGGCUCUAGGCUGCAAAGUAAAGUAACCGCUAUAGGUAUGUGGAGCAGUCGGCGCCUCCACGGUGGAUCGCGCAGACUGCGGUCGCCUCAAAAAAGUUUAUCAACGUCGGCAACCAUGGCUAGUCAGGAAAGAUGGCGGGGCGCAUUGGAGUUGUUUGUUGUGUUUGUUAUGCGUGCUCGCGAAGUCGUCGUCCCAUGCGUACUCUCUGCUGGUUUCAAGUGGGAGACUGUACUGUUCAACAGGAACGCACAGUGACAGCUCUUCAAAUGCGUCUGCGAUGUGUCUGCGGUGAAUUCGGCGAAAAAGCGGUGACCGAGUCGGGUGGGAGUGGUUGACCCUCUAUAGGGCCCCCCUCGACGAUGAACCCCCCUCCGCUAUGUGGCAUCAAAUUGGGGACGCUCGGUUUGACGUGACCUGUUCCUGCCCUGUCGGGCGUACUGUUUUUGACGUUCGUCCGCACCGCCUUGUCGAGCGAUCACUGUGACCGCAGUGCGACCCACAGGAACUUUCGCUUUUGAGGGGCUCUUGGACAGUGGACGUUUUAGGCAGAGGGGGCAACGCAAUCCGUAAGGAUGGAUGGAGAGCAAUUGUGUGCCUUUCAAGAUGUGGAUGGAAGCAGAGCAUUAUUCACACUUUUAUACAAGAAAGAAAAUGGAUGAUGACCUGAUACACGAAAGUGCAAACAAAAAAAAAAAAAGAAAGAAAAUUACUUCGUUCAUUUCAUGUUGACUGUGUGGGCAGGUGUGGAAACUUGUGCUCUGUAUUUAUUGUUCUACGUCAAGUGUGAAAACUGAAGCACCAAAGCUUAACUCAUUUCAGCUGUUGCCACUUCUUUGAACAGUGUGCCUGACCCUUGAUUGUUUUGUUUGACUCCAUCAUUUCCAAGAGCACCUAUUCCAUGUGACUUUGCUUUUUGCAAUGCACGAGUGAGCCUCAUGCGCAAUAAAUACAGCCGCAAUGUAAGGAAAUCUGGACAAUGUUAUUUAGAUUAAAAGUUAAGAAUAGCCGAGAUAUGUUCCUACAGGCACAUCACAGAAUAUCAUUAAGUGGUAUACAAAAAAAAAAAAGAAGGGAAGUGAAUAGCUGUUUUUAUUUUUUUCAAACAUAGCAGAAGUGUGCAGUUUUUAUGCAGUUAACAUAUCUAGAGAGAAGGAAGCACCAUGCUAUGGCCAAAGGUGGAAGACGAAUCUCUACUUGGCGUUCAUGUGUAGUAAUUCAAUAACGAAGCUGUUGUGUAUUCUUUGAUUUAAUUGGGGCACCUCACAUUUACAGUGUGUGGACCAUUUGUGUGGUAGCGCUUAACUCAAGUGUUGUAACACCUACUGAAAGAUGUAUGUGCACCCUUUUAAUGAGGGUGCUUCACCAAAUUGCCAGAAAUACUGCCGAAUAGUUGUAUGUUUGAAUGCGUUAAAUUCAGCCCAUAUUUCCUGGAGCAUUUGGGAGGAUUACUGAUUAAGCUGCCACCUAACACAGCCAAAAGGGAUCAGUUAUCUGGAUUUAUUGUAAUGUGCUUGCAGACAAAGCUUUUUAACAAGGGAUUGGAACUCGCAUAUACUUAGGUACCAAAAUUCUAAAAAUAUAAAUGUACUUUUGAAUGCAAAAACUCAUUUUGCUCCACUGUUAUUUUCACAUACAGUAUUUUAUUUUUUUGUUUCUUGUGCUAAUACCUGUGAAAGAAAGCCACACACAAGGCCAUUAAAACACUGUUUUGGAAUUGUGUUACGAAAGUUUACAUUUGAUGCACAUUGUGCUCAUAAAUGUAUGAGACAUGCACUUCACAAAGUGAGCAUCUGUCAUGCCAGUAGGUGUUUUUCCCCCUUAAUGGCCUAAAAGUAGUGGGUGCGACAUUGAUGCUUGGCUGUGUUUCUUCUGCUUUGAUUUUUUUCAAUUUAUCACGAAGUUUACACCUUUUACAGCUGCAACUUUGUUAUAUUCUUUUCUUUUUUUUGUUUGUUCACCUGUACUGAGCACUCUGGUUCUUGUGAGACAUGAUGACUGGCCUGUUUCUUUUUCCAGUAACUGUAGACUUGUCAUACUUAGCCAUCACAGCUUAGAAAAAAUCUUGGGACCACUACUGCAACUCAGGAAUGCAACCCGCUUCAGGAUGUCUGGACUUAGAUGCAACAGUUGUUAACCAAAAACGUUAAUGGUAAAUCAGCGUGUGGUGCACCAGUGGUGGCAAUAAAAAACAGUGCAGUCAGGAUGCUGGCUCCCAUGUUAAUAAGCCUAGUUUAUCAGCUACGACAUGUUUCUGCAGCAAAGUCCGUACUUCCUCAGCGAAACAUUAAAUUGACACCUUUAUACGAUACAUGCAGAUGCGGAAACGUUUCAGUACUCUCAUUUGGCUUCAGUGCACUAAAUGUUGGUAUCUGGUACGGCCUUUGCUUACUUGUGUUCAUUAUAUAUGUGUCGAUACAUUCCAGUUCAUUACAUUUUGCAGGCUGUUACAUGGCAUUUACGCUCGCCUAGCACAAAAUUGAUAGAUUUUCAUUUAAUAUAUUUGCACUUGACAGUGUCAAUCCUUGAUGUUUCCGCAUCUGCAUGUAACGUAUAAAGGUGUCAAUUUAAUGUUUCACUGAGGAAGUACGGACUUUGCUGCAGAAACAUGUCGUAGCUGAUAAACUAGGCUUAUUAACAUGGGGGCCAGCAUCCUGACUGCACUGUUUUUUUAUUGCCACCACUGGUGCACCACACGCUGAUUUACCAUUUACGUUUUUGGUUAACAACUGUUGCAUCUAAGUCCAGACAUCCUGAAGCGGGUUGCAUUCUCGAGUUGCAGUAGUGGUCCCAAGAUUUUUUCUAAGCUGUGAUGGUCAAGUAUGACAAAGCUGACCUUUGUCAAGUCUACAUUUAUUUUGGCAAUUUCCUGGCUCCUACAUUUAUCCAGCUCUCCUUACUGUCUUCUUUCCUUUCUUCAUCUUACUUCUUUUCCUUCUUCACAAUCUUGCAGUGAAUGUUAUAGUGGUGUUCUUCUGUGCAUAUUGUACGCUUAUAUUUUCCUCCAGAAUUAAUGUGAAUAUAUGAUAAGAUUGCAACAUGGUUUCUGCAUUUGCCAAACUAGGCAUCGACUUGGAUUUUCCUUUUUUUUUUUUUUUAAACUUGCAACAUUGCACUUAAGACGGAAUAGAAACAAAGGGGGCACAUACACAAAGCUUCUAUCUCGUCAUGAGCAUGCUGUUGUAAGUUUGAAAAUUACUUGCCAGCUUAUCUAAAUUCAUACACUGUUAAAUACAAACUUGCAAUACACAGUUUAAGGAAAUUGUGCACUCUAGCUUAAGUGGUACCCGAACAAUAAUUGGCAUCUAUAUUGCAUGCAUUUCCUUUCUUUAACGCUGUGUUCCCGGUACUUUCAGGUCGCAAAUGGCAUGUGCAGAUUACCAUGGCAUAGCAUUCUCGAAAGGGAAGUAGUGAGCCCAGUGCGUUAAAUAGAGGAAGUAUACACAAGAUUUAUGAUGUUUACUGUUUGAGUUCAAGAUAAUCUUCGAAGGGUGUAAACAAUUUUUAGGGUGCACUCGUAUUGUUAUCAAUGUUGUUGCUUAUUCUCUUGCUGUGCAAGUAGCUGUAAUGAAAGUGUUUGUAGCUCACUUGUGAUGUAAUAUGAGUUGCUGCAUUAUUGCAGCAUUCUUGGGGUUUCUCAGAAUCCUAGAAGAAAUUGUUUAGGGCAAAGAAACAAAAUUCCUGCUAACAGAACCCAGUUUCAGCCUCAAUUAAGCAUUUGUAAUGCAAGACCAAGCCAUGCACAUUUCUCUGGAGAGCUACAACAGGCCACCAGUUACAAAACACUUUGUUCUUUUUACUUCAAAAACAGUGAAACCUUCAGCACUGUCUUCUACGAGUGUCUCUUUUAAAACUUUCUGGCUCUCCCUAACACAAUUAGGGACAAGGUUUAGGGAUGAAACCACUUGAGAGUGUUGUUAAAGGUUAACUAAAACUUCUUGCUGUCAUGAUUAGCCAGCGCUUUUGUUUCACUGGGUUAAAAGUUUCUUUGUGAUAGAGAAAGCUUGUAUUUUUGGCACCACAUUUGUUCUGAAAGUGUGGGUUUGGUGCAUUGGUCUCAUUGAGAUGGUUUACUGUGCAUUUGUUUAUCAUGUACAGGCUUUGUGACAAGUCAUUAACAGCACACAAGCACAAUGCUUGUACAUUCUUAAGCAGUUUCGUAAAGAGAUAGUAGCAGCAAUGUAAAAGUGUGCACAGUCAACGAGUCCUGUUUGUAGUAGGCCAUGCACAAAAUUUUACGGUAGACCGAAUGUUGUCAUAAGAGUGUUAUCAUAAAAUGGUGCUGCAAAUUUUGAAGACCACACACACUUGUGUGCUAUCUGCACAGUUAUCUGCACUUCAUUUAUCUGCAUUUCUGUCUGUGUUCCAAGCACUCAGAAUCAGUAUCGUAGGCAGUUUCCUGCAUCGCCAUCUUUUCAGGCUUAAAAUAGAUAUUUCAAUGCUGUUAACCUCAAGAAUACAUUAUAUUCACCUAACUUAAUCUGUCAACUUCCUGUUAAUGUAUCGUGUUCAUAAAUUCAAAGGAUUAUUAAUGCAGUGAUUUGCACAUUUGUGCUGAUUUGAAGGUAAUCAUAUUAUUUUUUAUUAUUUUAUGAAAGUGAAGAUACAUAAUGUUGGUUUGUGUUCAUGCUUUGACUGGUAAACAGUACCAGAGGACUCCCAAGUUCUUAACAAGCACAGUGCUGCUUAGCUUUGGUAGUUUGAUGAAACCCGCCACAUUUAAUAGCUCACUGAUACAACACACACACAUCGAUUCAGUGCACACGUUGUGUUUACCUGUCCUUCUUCUUCAUUCUGUGGCACUGUUUACCAGUUGGGGUUAUAAAAUCUGAAAGCACCACAAAAAAAAAAAAAAUGCUUUCAUGUUCGUAAAUAUUAAUUGGAUCUGAUUUUGUCAUGAUGAAAGUGCUUGUCUAAUGACUUCUUUUGUGUCGCUCGUAACUGUUCAUCAGAGGCUCAUAUAUCAGCAAUCUAUAUAUAUAUAUAUAUUAUAUAUAUAUAUUGUUUUCGUUGUUGCUGAAGUUCAAUAUUAUUGCAAUAGCAUACAGAGUAUAGAAACAUAUAGAGGACCUGAGGUGUUUUCUAAGAUCUAAGAAGGUGUAUACUAUCCUGUGUACUUAAAAAAGGUGUAAACAUAAGUGGUAUUGGUUGCAUUCUUGUUGAAUGCAAAAGUUUUUUCCUGUUAGAUUGUAGUUUUAUAUACUCUAUAGAAGCUUUGGGAUUUGAACCUUGUGUGGAGUACUUGUAGUAUAUACCACAUUCGAGGGGUUUCUUCUGGUUUACUUGUGGAGCUGUGAUUUGUGUUAAUGCAAUUUGAAUGUGCAAGCAAAUUACUCAUUUGAGAUUGUUUUGUAGUAGUUCUGGUAGCUGUGUAUUGUGUAUUCAGCUGUGUUGUUCAUUACCAGUGUGCAUGAUGCCUGCUUGCACUCUUUAGUCUAGUGUGAUGCUGUGUCACAUUUCUUCAGGCUUUCUUACUGUACUGCUCAUGUCAUGUUACUUUCCAACUUUUAACUAAAUUUCUUAGGGCUGUAGCUAUCAUAACCCGAAAAAGAAACAAUAUGCUUUCAGGGGCAGACGAAUGAAACUCUGACCUUGGUCACUUAAAUGGGAUGCUUACAUGCAAACGUCAGCAUGCAAUAUCGCAGUGGAAUGCACUUGCAUUUAGCUCCUUAUGUUGCAGAGCAAGCAACCUCAUUGCUAAGCAUGUAGCACUUGUCACUAUAAUUGGAGCCUUGCGCAGAUAACAGGUGUCUUUUGACAUAUUGAUACCAACAAGAAGUACUGCUUAAUGGAAUCGUUAACUUCACAAAAGUAAUUGAACUAGUGUUUUACUUUGGCUACACCAAAAGUCUGCCAUUAAAUGUCAAAUGUUGACUUCUCUUUUGUUCUUUUUUUUUUUGCUUUUCUUUUGGAACCAGCCCUGUCGGCACAAGGCUUUCCCAUCGCACCCUGCCUCCUGCGUGCCAGCAACAGCAAUGCAGGGCGUCCAUCAACGUCUUCGCGGACCUUCACUUCAACCGUCGCAGUAGACAUGCCGAAGAAGUUCCAGUGCCGACAGUGCCACUACUCGACCAACAUCAUGACCAACCUGCGACACCACGUGCGCGUGCAUUCGGGAGAGCGCCCGUUCAAGUGCUCAGACUGUGGCAAGGGCUUCAUCCAGAAAAUCCAGAUGAUCAAGCACAACUGCACCGCCCGGAUGCGUGACGUCAUCGUGCCCACAUCCGCGGUGUCGCCAACGGGGCUUCCGCCUUCGUCGCCGGGACCACCGGCAAACUCGCUCUUCAGUUGCUCUAAGUGUGGAGAGGCGUUCCUCCGCGAAGCACUUCUCUUGCAGCAUGUAUUGCUCAUGCACAUGACACAGUAAGCCAGCUGCCACCUUUUGACAUAGUUCAGCUGACCACGAAGUAGUUUUUGCCGAGCUGGUUUGUCACUAUGUCAGUAGAAAAGCGCUGAAACAGAACAAAGAAUGAUGAUAACAAAGGUGCCGACUAGCAACUGGUCAGCUACAUUGUGCAGUGCAAAGCUGAAUGUGCAAGCACCAAAUUAAUCUAGUCCCACACUGACGUGCCUCAUAAUCAGAUCGUGGUUUUGGCACAUAAUACCCCAGAAUUUAAAUAAUUGAGCUUUUGAGCCAUAGUUUAGCAUCUACGCUAUGAUGUGUGCAUCAGCUUGAAGUGACCAAAAAGUUUGUAGCCAGCGCAACAUUGUCUGCUCAGGCCACCUUUGUUUGAAGCAUGGCUCAGGCUGUAUUACCUUCGUGUCAGACAGUCAGGCUGUGUGCAAACCCUCUAAUCAGAUGGGCCAUAACACACCGAUCAUUCAUAUGUUGCUGCAGGCAGUCGUCUCCUGCAACUCAUACUGCACAAGGAUGCUACUGCACACAUAUUUCAUGUGCUAACACUGUCCCUGCUUUGCACUUUGGGUGACACUGCAAUUGUGAGUCGGCAUCUAUGUCAUCAUCAUUCUUUGUCCCCUUUUUGUGCUUGUUUGGUGAUCACAUUUAGUACUCAGCUGGCAAGCAUAUGUACUGUAGCCAUGUCACCUUCUGUGACAGUGUGCACAUUUCAAUCAAACACUUGAUAUGCUGGCUUUCAUGACACAUUGUUGCUUUAUUACAGGAAAGCGUGCUUUGAUAAAGCUUGUUCGCUUUGAGAUUGUUAGGUCUAGUGGAUCUUUGCCUCAUAGUGACUAUUCAUUCAUGUACACUGUUCUGUAAACAAUGGCUCCAGGUACAGUUGCACACUGAGGUGAUCACUAUCUCAAGAUACGUUCAUGAUUGGUCUGGCUUGCAACAAUUGGAAGUGCAUGCCAUUGUGUAAAAAUGCAUUAUUCACACACCUAGAAAGGUUAUUUGAUGUCUCUACGUUUGUUUAGAGAUAUCUUUAGACGUGUCUUGCUGCCUUUUGAGGCCCUUUUUUGCACUGUUAGCUAGACGCAGCUGAACCAAGAGUGCAAUUUAGAAGAGUGCUUGAUGAUUGGUGUGCAAGUUAGAUUUCACAUCGUUAAGUGAUCUUUACAGUGUCAAAAUUAUGCAACAGAUGCUGCCAUGCAUUUGUGAAGUUCGAUAUACCAAGGAGCUGUAUGUAGCACUUGCUGUAGGAUGUGUGUGCCAUCUACUGCACAUUUCAGUACCUGGCCAGAUUUUAGGACAACACAGGCACAGCAUCUUUGAUGACUGAAUUUUUUAUUGCAAUAGCAGUUACAUGGACACUCCAGGCGCAUUUAUGCCGUCACUGCGAUGUUCCAUAUAUGUCCAAGUGCGAUAACAUUCUGGCCUCGCACUGUAUACUGUGGGUGCAAGGGAAAGCUUGUGAGGGUGAGCUGAGGAUGGUAGCUCGAGCCCGUGUGCGCUAGGGAAGAAGCGUGCCGUCUUCCAUCGCGCGCAAGGCACCGGGUAGGGGCGAGGUUCUCCAGUGGGCGCAUGGUGCGGCUGAGCGUGGCCGCGAAGGCCCUGUCUUGAAAGCGAUUUGCGAUGGGAGCAGAGUCUAGACACGCCGAGGGCUGAUAGCAUCGUGUGCACUGUUUUCGCCACUUACUUUGCGUUGAAGCGAGAGGCAGCACAAAGGUCAAUUUGCUUGCUGCUGCUCUUCCUCAUGCGAGCAUUUUGAUAGCGAGUGUCCACGAUCAUCGUGUGAGAUGUGUUCAUGUUUGCCUGUGCGCGCUUGACGUCAGGCUUGUUAAUUUAGUUAGUAAGCAAAUGUUUACAAGUUUAUAUGGCCGAUAAAUCUACUAUCCUUGCUUCGUAUAGGUAUCUAAUAAUUUGUUUAUUGCAGUCGAUGCUUUGCCUUUCAGGCGAAACUGCGACUUUUUCGCAAGAUAUUAGUUUUGGUACGAGCAAUGUUUGGCAUGCCACAGCUAAACCUGAAACAUGUAACAGCAUGGGCACAACAGUUUGAGGAGGGAUGUACUUGCUUCACAAAUACCCUGCAGACUGGCAGUUCGACCUUCUUUGAAACAGAGUUAGCAAGGCAUGCUAAGCGUUUUCUCCCGUGUGGUAAAUAUGGCAAUUUUGGCUUCCAAGAAACAGAUGCUACAGCUGGUGAAGCUGUUGCUUUGAAGCUAAAUGUCUAUGUUACUAUGAUAGCUGGCAUGCGCUUUUCUCUCUGCUCAGUGGUGUUUGUGGCUGUUAACGUCCAUCACUGUUAUUGUCUGUGCCAUUCAAACACAUGCAAAAACAAGAUUUCAUGCCAUUGGGAAAAAUGCGAAGAAAAUGAGACGUUGCCUCAGGCAUGUUUACUAGUGUGCCAAGUAUGAAGCACCCACUCCCCCCACACACACACACUCACACUCAUCAAUUUAAAGAAAGAAGAACCCUGGCAGGCAAAAAUGUGCCGUGCACAGUUCCCGUUGAAUGUCUUCAUAGUGAUCAGUUACACUACAUGGUGCAUGCUGCCUCCACGCAUCACACUGAGUCGGAGUUGUUGCGAAGUGCCAGGAGUAUUGAAUGCUUUACUGCUUACGAUUAACGCACACGUAAUAAUACUUCAGAACUUGGAAAGAUACCUUCGAUGGGUUUAUUCUAACCAUACAGGGUCUUCUGUAGACUAGUGCAGCCUCAAGCAGAAAUGUUGAGCCUUUUUCUUACAGCAACUCUUUCAAUAGUUAAUUCUCUGAGGGCAGAAUUUUUUCCCAAAAUUCGGGCCCCGGUGGGUAAUUUUAUUUAUUGCAGCUUCCAGUGGUAGGAAAUGAUCGAAAACUCAUGAAUACAGCAAAAAUUUAUUGCAAACAAUAUUUUGUCUCAAAAAUGCUUUACUUUGCACUGGUAGUACACAUACAAAUACACUAUACAGUACAAGAUCAAGAAAAAUGUGUACCAAAAUUCAUGGUUAUCAAUUUGUUGACCCAAAAAAAUGUUUCAUCAGAAGAAGAAACGCUUGAGCAGUCACUGUGAUAAGAGACACCGUAUGUGGCCCUACCGAAAUCACAACUGCGCACCCCAGUGUACAGGAAUAUGCGAGCUGCAGCCAAAAGGAAAACCACAGCAUACGGCAAAGAAAAAGGAAACUUAUCAAUAUCCUCUGAACUUUGGCCACGCUAGGCUAUAUCUAAGCUACCGGAAACACGGUAGCAACGAA
rnacentral:lncRNA from 1 species